GACGAGGCAGCAAUUGAGUAUAAGGCGAUGGACUGCUAAUCCAUUGGGCUCUGCCCGCGUGGGUUCGAAUCCCAUCCUUGUCG